rnacentral:rRNA from 1 species
GAGAAAGAGAAGAAGAGCGAACGGAGGAUGCCUUGGCUUCCAGAGACGAUGAAGGACGUGGUAAGCUGCGAAAAGGUGCGGGGAUCUGCAAACAGGAAUUGAUCCGCACAUAUCCGAAUGGGGCAACCCACUGGCUUGAAGGGCCAGUACCAUCAUAAGAUGGGGUGAACCCGGGGAACUGAAACAUCUUAGUACCCGGAGGAAGAGAAAGAAAUAUCGAUUCCCAAAGUAGUGGCGAUCGAAAUGGGAAGAGCCUAAACCGGCGACGUUACGGCGCCGUCGGGGUUGUAGGAGCAGACGUUAAGACCUAGCAAUGAACCGGAAGCAUCUGGAAAGUUGCACCGCAGGGGGUGAAAGUCCCGUACGGGUAAAGAGGUUAGGUCGAGUUUGCCACCUGAGUAGGGCGGGACACGUGGAAUCCUGUCUG